rnacentral:rRNA from 1 species
AGAGUUUGAUCAUGGCUACAGAACGAACGCUGGCGGCAGGCUUAACACAUGCAAGUCGAACGCGUGUAGCAAUACACGAGUGGCGCACGGGUGAGUAACGCGUGGAUAUCUGCCUUUUGGUUCGGAAUAACUCCGGGAAACUGGAGCUAAUACCGGAUGGUUCCUACGGGAUAAAGAUUUAUCGCCAAAAGAUGAGUCCGCGUACGAUUAGCUAGUUGGUGAGGUAAUGGGCUCACCAAGGCGACGAUCGUUAGCUGGUCUGAGAGGACGAUCAGCCACACUGGGACUGAGACACGGCCCAGACUCCUACGGGAGGCAGCAGUGGGGAAUAUUGGACAAUGGGGGCAACCCUGAUCCAGCCAUGCCGCGUGAGUGAUGAAGGCCUUCGGGUUGUAAAGCUCUUUUGGCGGGGACGAUGAUGACGGUACCCGCAGAAUAAGCCCCGGCUAACUUCGUG